rnacentral:rRNA from 1 species
UCGGGAAUUUUGGGCAAUGGGCGAAAGCCUGACCCAGCAACGCCGCGUGAAGGAUGAAGUAUUUCGGUAUGUAAACUUCGAAAGAAUAGGAAGAAUAAAUGACGGUACUAUUUAUAAGGUCCGGCUAACUACGUGCCAGCAGCCGCGGUAAUACGUAGGGACCAAGCGUUGUUCGGAUUUACUGGGCGUAAAGGGCGCGUAGGCGGCAAUUCAAGUCAUCUGUGAAAUCUCCGGGCCUAACUCGGAACGGUCAGAUGAUACUGCUUUGCUAGAGUGCAGAAGGGGCAAUCGGAAUUCUUGGUGUAGCGGUGAAAUGCGUAGAUAUCAAGAGGAACACCUGAGGUGAAGACGGGUUGCUGGGCUGACACUGACGCUGAGGCGCGAAAGCCAGGGGAGCAAACGGGAUUAGAUACCCAAGUAGUCCCUGAGCGGGCUGGCAAGGCGCAU